GAGCACAGGACGGAGGUGUCAUUCAUUCUCGGGGUUAGCUCGCUGUGCAUUGCACACUUUCCGGCUCAGAAGCUCCAUACAGACACAGCUGACUUCAGUGACAGAUGGCGGAGAUCUCACGUCUGCUCCUCACCCUGGGCUUCCUCGGCUUGUCUCUGGCUGCUGAUGUCAUCCAGACUCCUGAUUUCCAUGUGGCUCGCUCUAUGGAAAAUAUAUCUAUGACCUGUGAACAUGACAACUCAGGAUAUUCCACCAAACUGUGGUAUCGGCAGGUGAAAGGCAAGGAGCUUGUUCUUAUUGGAUACACGGUCAACACUGCAACAGCAACAAUGGAGAAUGGAUUUGAUGAUGGAAGGAUAAGCAUCCGUCCUGAGAAAAUUGAGAAAAGCAUCAUGACCAUCAGUAAACUCUCCUCCCAGGACAGUGCUGUGUAUUACUGUGCCAGCAGUACACAGUGAGGGAGGCUGACAGAGAGGGUGUGUGGAACUAGGACUGGAACAGGUGGAAGACAUACAUUGCUGCAGGAGAUUAGAUAUUGUAUUAAUACUUUUGACAACAAAGCCUGGAGAAUGUCCAGGAAAAAACCAAGCCUACUUACCGACCAGCUCGCAGACAACCAAUUAACCUGUCAAACAGUAUGCAUUAAACCACGGGUUUAUUCUGCAUGCAUUUGCAAACGCAUGCGUGAGCCACAGAGCUGCGCCACAGCACCCUGGAAUAUGUGGUCCUAACGCUAAACUACGAGUGUCCCCACUCAUAGUUUAGCCAGGUUUGAGCCAGUCAAUAAUCCAGCCAAUCAGAAUAUAAUGUAACUGGCCUCGUACACACGACAGAGUUUCUCGGCAGAAUUCAGCGAGAAACUCGGUCAGAGACGGAU